ACCAGAGAGCAGCACUGAGCAGAUAUAACACUGCUCCUGCUCAUUCUUCAUCAGUGAGGGGCUGAUGCUGGACACUGUAGGGACCGAGAAUGCAAAGUCAUAUACACUACUGUGACUGAUGCACUAUUUCCAGGAUGUGGAGUAGCAUUUCCGGACCUACAGCAAGACGUUGGAUGAAGACGUAGAUUUCCAGACCUACAGCAAGAAUUUGGAUGAAGGCACAGCCCCUCAAAUCACGCACAUACACGGACACAUUUGCCCAAAUUCUAGAGGUAACCUCCGUUAGUAUGCCCAGAGGAAGGGCAAUACAGUAGCCAUGGAUUCCCUACAGGUUUCCUCCCCUCUGGAGGUUUUUCCUGUCCUGAGUUAGUUACUGUACGCUCUUUGUGAGUGAUGGGAGGUUACAUAAAAUCCCUACACAAACAUUUUAAUAUAUAAUAAAUAAAGUUCCCCUUUUUAAACCAUU